AAAAAAUUAGUUAAAUAAAUAACAUUAAAUUGUCAAUUUAAAAUUAUUAUUCUAAUAAUAUUUUUUU
rnacentral:tRNA from 1 species